GGGCUGAGUCAGGAUGCGGCAAGGGCUGGGGCUGAGCCCUGCCGGGGCGGGAGGGCUUGUGGCCCCAGGGCUGGCAGCGCCGCUGGCAGGGAGCUGUGCUGCCGGGGCCCUGACAGUCUCUGUGUUCCCAGGGACGGCCAGGAAGCACCUGAGGGCAUCGCAGGAAGAGCUGCAGGCCCUCAUCGAGGCACUUCAAGUCCUGAGAAGAGAUGACAACCCUUCUCAGAGGAGCACAGUUUUUCAGCAGACAUUUAUUGAAUGAACAGCAGAAGUUCACUCGUCUGCUGCUUUAGGAGAACCAGUCUUCCUAUAAGAUGCCAUGGAAGACGAGACUACGCUGAAACCAGAAGAGACCAGCUGGAGCUCCAGGCACAGCUGACAACUGGCACAGCUGAGCCUGUGGGAAGCUCGCAUGGCUUCAGCCCUUUCCCCCUGCCUGUAGAUAGUUCUGUCCCUGCAGCCCUCAGAAACUGCCCAUCCCUUCUUUUUCCCUUCAGUUUCCCUCCCUUUUGAAUACCUCCCUCCCUGUGGCCCUCAAACACUUUCCAUCCCUUCUUUUUCCCUCCAUUCUCCUUCCCUUUUGAUAGCUCCAUGCCUCCAGCCCUCAGACACUGCCCAUCCCUUCUUUUUCCCACUAGUUUCCAUCCCUUUUCACAGCUCCAUCCCCCCGCCCUCAGACCUUGCCCAUCCCCUUUUUUGCCCCUCAGCUCAUCCCUUUGCUUCGCAUCCCAUCAAUAAACAGUUUUGCUUUUUCACUAAA